AGCUGCCAGACAACCCUCCGAACCAGUGCAUGAACAAAUUGGGCUCAUCCUUCAGCUCCUCCCUCCCUUCACAUGCUGUCUAUAGAUAUAAAAGGGCACAAGCCCUGAAUCCCCCAUGCACAAACAAUGACUGACUGACUGCUCUGUAGUCUGGCCUAAAGGACGGAGAUGGCCCACCAAAUGAACGCUUCACCUUCCAACGUUUCUGAGCAAAAUGGUUGUUACAGAUGUUACAUGGUACAGAUGGAAGACAAACGCUUGGAGUGUUUAUGGAAAGAGAAGAAGGAGGAUAUGAUCUACAAGUCAUGGAGUUCCCCUGGUUGGGGUGUACAAAGUGAAAAAGCCCAAAGUCCACCCCAAAGGGCCU